rnacentral:rRNA from 1 species
UACGGAGGGGGCUAGCGUUGUUCGGAAUCACUGGGCGUAAAGCGCACGUAGGCGGACUCUUAAGUCGGUGGUGAAAUCCUGGAGCUCAACUCCAGAACUGCCUUUGAUACUGAAGAUCUUGAGUUCGGGAGAGGUGAGUGGAACUGCGAGUGUAGAGGUGAAAUUCGUAGAUAUUCGCAAGAACACCAGUGGCGAAGGCGGCUCACUGGCCCGAUACUGACGCUGAGGCACGAAAGCGUGGGGAGCAAACAGG